UACAGAGGUCCCAAGCGUUGUUCGGAUUCACUGGGCGUAAAGGGUGCGUAGGUGGUGGGGUAAGUCGGAUGUGAAAUCUCCAGGCUCAACCUGGAAAUGGCAUUGGAAACUACCUUGCUAGAGGGUUUGAGGGGGGACUGGAAUACUUGGUGUAGCAGUGAAAUGCGUAGAUAUCAAGUGGAACACCAGUGGCGAAGGCGACUCUUUGGCCUGUAACUGACGCUGAGGCGCGAAAGCGUGGGGAGCAAACAGG
rnacentral:rRNA from 1 species